GAUGAACGCUGGCGGCGUGCCUAAUACAUGCAAGUCGAGCGAACAGACGAGGAGCUUGCUCCUCUGACGUUAGCGGCGGACGGGUGAGUAACACGUGGAUAACCUACCUAUAAGACUGGGAUAACUUCGGGAAACCGGAGCUAAUACCGGAUAAUAUCUUGAACCGCAUGGUUCAAUAGUGAAAUACGGUUUUGCUGUCUCUUAUAGAUGGAUCCGCGCCGCAUUAGCUAGUUGGUAAGGUAACGGCUUACCAAGGCAACGAGGCGUAGCCGACCUGAGAGGGUGAUCGGCCACACUGGAACUGAGACACGGUCCAGACUCCUACGGGAGGCAGCAGUAGGGAAUCUUCCGCAAUGGGCGAAAGCCUGACGGAGCAACGCCGCGUGAGUGAUGAAGGUCUUCGGAUCGUAAAACUCGGUUAUUAGGGAAGAACAAAUGUGUAAGUAACUAUGCACGUCGUGACGGUACCUAAUCAGAAAGCCACGGCUAACUACGUG
rnacentral:rRNA from 1 species